rnacentral:rRNA from 1 species
UACGUAGGUGGCAAGCGUUACUCGGAAUCACUAGGCGUAAAGCGCAGGUCGGCGGUUGGAUAAGUCUGUUGUGAAAGCUCCCGGCUUAACUGGGAGAGGUCAACGGAAACUAUCCGGCUAGAGUGUGGUAGAGGUAGCUGGAAUUCCCGGUGUAGCGGUGAAAUGCGUAGAUAUCGGGAGGAAUACCUACGGCGAAAGCAGGCUACUGGACCAUCACUGACGCUGAUCUGCGAAAGCUAGGGGAGCAAACAGG